UGCAACUGGAUGAAGAGACGGCAGAUUUCAGGAUGGAUCUCUCCGUCCUCCGGCCUGCAGCGGGAUGCGGGAAGAAAGAUGGAUGGAGGUGGAGGAGAUAACAUCACAGUGCCCUUGAUUCAUAACACAAAUAAAUCAAAAAAGUAAAGUUCUGAAACACUGAGGAAAUAUACCAACACAACAAAAGCAGUGGAAAAUGCAAGCGAUAUCCAUAUAAUUGCUAGUAUUAAAUUAUUUAUUUUUAUUAAUAUUAUUUUAACAGUUGUAACAACAACAACAGUGUUUAUUAUUAUCAUCACCAUAGAGG